AUGUUGCCUUUUCCUUUACUUGUGUACUUGGAACCAAAUUGUUCGUUACCAAUUGUAUCGGGACACUUUUAUAGAAGAUACGGCUUACUGUGCAUUGAAACAAUAGCCGCAGAGUUUGGUCUUUGUAUUAUCUUUGUAUAUUUGAUUUGGAUUUGUCCUGAUUUAAGUAAAGGACCCUCCAUUAGUACUGAACCGUUUUGUGUUCAUUCUGUUGUUGUCUCCAGACAUUUGUAUUUGGAGAAUCAUUCUGAAACCAGGGUUCAAAGCGCUGAGAAAAUAUGGUUCUAUUUCUCAAUCUUGUGCUAA
rnacentral:rRNA from 1 species